rfam:Macrococcus caseolyticus JCSC5402 DNA, complete genome.
ACGGACAAGUAGAAGCAUCCCGCUUCUCGCCCUGAAGACGCAAUAGCAGUUACAGGGUUAAAUAACAUGGUUAGACAUGUCUAUUUUUUAGCGGGUGCAUAAUGCAUUCGCUUUUUUGUUUGUCU